CAACUUCACCUGGCUUACCUCCNUCAGUUAUGCGUCAUGACUUGUAUCGUCUUGAGCGUAUUGUGGGUUUCCUGUGUUGCAUACCUAAUAAUGGAAUCGUUUUGGUUGAUUUAAGUCCCUUUUCAUCACGUGUUGCCUUUGUGAUGCAUGAUGAACCUCGAAGCGGUCUCUAUGUUCCACCAYGUUGAUGCUAGUGUCUUGAUGUUGUGGCCCAUUGAGUGUUGCUUGGUUUCGUGGAUACAGAACAUGAUUUGGGCAUAGGGUCACCUGUGACUCUUGUUUUGUCCUUUAUCAGUGUUCUCUAUAACGACGGUUCAUGCGCGCCUAGGCUCGUACCUGCGCGAUGUUCUUUGUCGAAGAGGAAUGCUACCUGGUUGAUCCUGCCAGUAGUCAUAUGCUUGUCUCAAAGAUUAAGCCAUGCAUGUGUAAGU
rnacentral:misc_RNA from 1 species